rnacentral:tRNA from 1 species
GGCCAGUAGCUCAGUUGGUAGAGCAGUUGACUUUUAAUCAAUUGGUCGCAGGUUCGAAUCCUGCACGACCCACCA